ensembl:lncRNA
AGAAAAUAAAUAAAAUACUCCUAAAAAACCAUGGCUGCUUAAAAAGAGACACCUAACUCUGUAGCAGAGCACCCCAUUUUUCCACCAAUCAGAAGGCCAGAGCACAAUGGAUCACAUCCAAUCAAACAGUUGGUCUAAUUAACCACAACAAGCAUGGCGGAAUGGAAACAACAGAAAGGACAAUGGAUAAAGGAUGAUGUCAGAGGGGACUAUGUGCCAUACUGCAUGAUCAUCUUGAUGGUAUACUGCAAGGAUGGGAUUCUAUCACACAACAGGCCUAGGGGGGUAAACACUGUGGUGCAGUCCAUCAGCACGGGGCCACACGGAGCCGACCUUCUGCAGUCCAUUUCCCUCCACCCACAGAGGAAAUACACUGCGCUUUGUUUAUGCUUCAGGGGCCUCCACUGUUCAGAAAUGUGAGAACGGCAGAGAAGAGGAGGGAGACAGAACUUAUCUUCUACUUUCCAUGAGAUUUAGAGGUUUUUACGAAUUAAAAAAAGAAGACACCUCAGUCCCAGCAGAUGGUUGUUGGGAGCCGCGUGUUCUUAACAAUCUGUAAUUCCCCCGUUUAAAGAUGUUCUGUGGUCACCCACUCUGCCCUCAGGACUGUAUCUGCCCUCACAUUAUUAAACUCUGCAUAGAGAACAGUCUGGCAUUGCUGGCCCGAUAGAAAUGUUUUGACACCGGCACCGUGCCGCCCUCUCACCAGACGCAAUCACAUCGGUUUACCUUCCAAAACACAACGCCAUCUAUUUAUUUAUUUUUUUAUUUAUCCUGCAAAAUGGAUUUUUUUUUUUUUUUGUCUCUCGCUCUUAAACCCUCCAUUCUUCUCCCCCAAAGAGGUGCCUCUGUUCACUGCAGAUAAAUAGGAAUUCCAAACUCCAACGCUUCAUUUGUCAUGGUAUGAAAUCCAAGAGUGGAAUCUAGAAAUAGCUCCAGCAAUGUUAAUGUGCAGUGCCUGAGGCCUGAUAACAUGUAGGAGGUUUUUAGUGAUAUUUGCCUCUUGCAUAUUUUGUUCCGGGAUUUUUUUCUUUUCUUUUUCUUUUUUUUUUUUUAAGAAAGAGUAGGAAAAAAAAACAAGAUCUGCACUUUUUUGCUGCAAAUAUUGUGAAAUGAUAUUCCUUUUUCCUCCACACUGGCUGAGCCCAUUAUUUGGCUAUGACAUUACAGUUUUAAUUGAAUUGAAUGCAAUUUUCUCUUUAAGAAAACUUUUAAUUAAACACCAUAUGGACAGAUCGUGGGGAGAAGUGGCCUCCACAAAGUUCCCUGAGGGAAAUUUGCGGUAUAAUUAAGAAUAUGAACUGUAAUGACACUCCGGGAUUUAAUGAAACUUGCAAUGCAAAUAGGGCUAUGUAUAACCAGCAUUCAUCUGACAAAGUGAGUGAAGUUUGGAGAUGCGUCUAGAGAAACCUUGUUCCCC